GAAAAAUCGGACUAUUCGGGGAGAGCUGGAGUGGGUAAAACAGUACUCAUUUCAAUUACAACUCAGUUGUGUACAUCUCUUGGUGAAACGUGUGAUACAACUGGUUCUACUCUCUUUUCACUUUGAGAAAGCUUCUUCCAUGCCUCUAACCUCUCUCCGGCAAAAAUUAACAUAUUUGCAUGAAGCUCUGGUCUAUACUAUACCUUCCGUCAAUUGAAGCUGAAUAAUAGUACAUAGAAGUAAAGGCAACGUAACUAGAUCGGUGACAAAGGAUUGGUCGGCAGUUUGCAGUUGAUAAAGGUGCAGGUUUCUGAAGUUGAAAGUCGCUCAAGCGGGGAAAAGGUUACUCUGCUUUGACUAUAACAGAUAAAUUUUUCAUUGAUCAAAAAUCUAAAUGAAGCUUCCCAAUUGCUUUCGAUUUUUAUUUAAAGUCUAUCUGGAUACUUCUACGCUUUGUUGAACCAUCUCAAAUUUCUCUUCUUCUCUUUAUGCUAUUGGAGAAAGAUGCAAAUUUCUAUGAGGACUUUGCUAUAAUUCGAGAAUUUUUCUUGCUACUAAAAUUGAGAUGAAUAAAGAAUCAACAACAAAAAGAGUGCAGAAAUUACUGGCAGAAAUGAGUUUUAAGUUCUAACAAAGUGUAAAAUUGUUGUCAGUGUUUCUAACACAGUUGUGGUUGAAUAACUUUUAUGUAUGUUGUUAGCUUUAAAUAUUUCAUAUAUUCAUAUGAACUAGGUUCGAUUUUCUCUAGGCUGAAAUCUGGUAAAUUAUAAUACUCGCAUUGUUAUAACGUUUGUGAUUCUGUUUCCUCGUGCUACCAAUGGAUCUCUAGAAGGUGGAAUAAUCGGCGUGUGAAGCUAUAUUUAGGAGUGUACUAUUUCAUUGUUUAGAGUUUUGAUUUAGUUAGUAUUUCUUUUGGAAUUGGCUGAAUUAGGGAAUUGAUUCAUGAAAGUUAAUGUUAUCUAAUUAAUGCUACUGGUACUGCUUUCUUAUUUGGAAUUGGAGUACUAAUUUAUGAAAUCUAUUUCUCAUCAAUUUUUGAAAUACAAUUACUCCAACAAAGACUUAAUUAAAACACUUUAUCCCUUACAAAGGGAAUGUAACAACCAGUCUUUUCCCUUAUUCUUUUGGAAUAAAGUGAAUACUAAUUGUUACAUGUUGGCAGAUUUGAUCAAUUUAAUUGAGUUGUGAUAGGGAUUAACUUUGAGGAUGAGGGUAAGAAGGUGAAUUUCCCAGUUGAUAAAAUUGAGGCUUGACUUGGUCACCAUAAUGAGGUAACUUUUGCCUUCCCUUUGGUGAUGAUCUAGGAUAGUGAUACAUUUUUUUCCUUUCCUUUCUCUACAGAUCUCAUUGACAUCCAGUCUUAAUCCAAGAGAGUAGAGGUCUUAAGAGAAAGGUACAAGCUAUAAUCCUUAAGAUUCAGAAUAAUGCAAAUGAGACCAGGAAAGCAAAUCAUGAUCUUUCUCAGAGUAAGCUACUGUGUGUAUGGGAAGUAUUUGAUAGAAGCUAAAAAGAUCUUUCUGCACUUAAGAGAGUUCAAUUUGGAAGCAUUGCAUUUCAGUGGAGACCCAGCUGAGAUAUGUGUUGCCAACAGCUGUUAAAGUCUAGAUUUCACCCAAUUGUAGCAUAGCUCACGCAUAAGUUGGACCACCUACAUGAACAUUGACAAUCUCACUGUUUUUGUCUUUCUAGCAUGAUAUUUUCUUUUCUUUGGAUAAUGUUAUAACACAAUUAGAACCACCAUGAAAUUCCAAUAUUAGAUCUUAUAUGUACAGCGAUGUUGGGGAAAAGCCCGUGCUCAGCACGGGCACAGGCCAUCUAGUAUAUAUAUAUAUAUAUAUAUAUAUAUAGUAGAAUUCGUAUCUUUAUUGA